GGUCCGCGAGAAAAAAAACAAUUAGCGAGGGUCCUGUGUUAGGUGGCACUCGAUAUCCAUAUCUACUUUCUUGCAAACAAGGUGGUUCUAUCUUCUAGAAUUCCUUCUGUGUGUUGGCUGGUGUGGUACAGCAUGUGCUAAACCAUUACAUGCAUGUUACCCAUUAGCGAGCCUGGCAAUCCGUCGUGGGCCACCGUAUUGUUGGCUCUCUAGAAUAGACGCCUGUCAUUUCGUUUCAAUAUAGCUCCUGAGAGAUAUCAGCGCAAUGAAUCUCUAUAGCAAGCAUGUCAGUGAACAGCCUCAUCAAUCCACUAUUGCAUGAAAAACAAGAAGAAUUCAUCAAACGGAUGGAAUUGGUGGAUAUAACUAACGAAUCACACCAAUAAAAUUGUAAAAUAAGAUAUAAAAACUCAAAUGUGCUUGGAUGUAAGGAAUUCAACAUUCGCAUUUAUCUUAUUUAUCUUUAUCUCUAUUCAUUAUAUUCAUUAUUCUGCGGA
rnacentral:sRNA from 1 species